rnacentral:lncRNA from 1 species
AGAAGUGAGGCAGCCGUGAGGCGGAGGACAGGCUGGGGGAUCCCAAAGGGUCCGCUCCAGCCCCCAACCCAGGCACUGGGACUCUGGUGGCACCCUGGGUGGCAGGCAAGCCUUGAAAUCAAGUGCACGAGCCUUGGAAAGGAGGACCGGGAGAGUUAUGGCAUUUAUGAAUAAAGAAGAGAAAGAGAAUCACUCGGAUGGGAAAAGUUAACUGGAUUGUUCCCACCUGCAUGGAUCACCGGGAUGAAGCUGUGCCACCCUGUAGGAAUUAGAAGACCACGUCCAGGAAUUGAGCAUCGGGUGCAGGAUCCAGUCUUCUGAGGCCCUGAAACCACAUGGUGAGAAGUUGAAGGUCACACAGCUGAAGCAACUUAGCCGUCUCGCCUUGCGGCCUGGAAGCCCUGGCAAUUUCCGGAGCACCGGCAAGAGACUUUUGCACAGUUUCUGCUUGGAGUCUACCGACUGUCUGUCUCAGAGGUCUGGACAGCUGCUUGUUACAUUUGGCUCACGCUAGCUUUAAAAAGGAAUGUAUGGACCUUACUGCAGAACGUCCCAAUUCUUCAGGC